UUACCGCACGAAUUGAUCCCCGUGACCCAACGGCAAUGACGGACAAUAGAAUAUAACAGCUGCCUAGUGGGUAGGUUGCUGCAAUCCGAAACGGAGUUUUUUCUCCGAGGACUGCGGUGCUUUUGUUAUGCCAUUUUGCAGCUGU
rnacentral:ncRNA from 1 species